rnacentral:rRNA from 2 species
UUCCGGUUGAUCCUGCCAGAGGCUACUGCUAUCGGGGUCCGACUAAGCCAUGCGAGUUGAGAGGGGUAAGCCCUCGGCAUAUUGCUCAGUAACACGCGGAUAACCUGCCCUUGGGUUUGGGAUAACCCCGGGAAACUGGGACUAAUACCGGAUAGAUCAAAGAAACUGGAAUGUUCUCUGAUCGAAAGCUCCGGCGCCCAAGGAUGGGUCUGCGGCCUAUCAGGUAGUAGUGGGUGUAACGUACCUACUAGCCUACGACGGGUAAGGGUUGUGAGAGCAAGAGCCCUGAGAUGGAUUCUGAGACAUGAAUCCAGGCCCUACGGGGUGCAGCAGGCGCGAAAACUUUACACUGCGGGAAACCGCGAUAAGGGGACCCCGAGUGCCAGCACCUAGUGCUGGCUGUCCAGCUGUUCAAAUAACAGUUGUUAGCAAGGGCCGGGCAAGACCGGUGCCAGCCGCCGCGGUAACACCGGCGGCCCGAGUGGUAGCCGUUAUUAUUGGGUUUAAAGGGUCCGUAGCCGGCCUAUUAAGUCUCUUGGGAAAUCUGGCGACUCAAUCGUCAGGCGUUCAAGAGAUACUGGUAGGCUUGGGACCGGGAGAGGUGGGAGGUACUCCAGGGGUAGGGGUGAAAUCUCGUAAUCCUUGGGGGACCACCGAUGGCGAAGGCAUCCCACCAGAACGGGUCCGACGGUGAGGGACGAAAGCUGGGGGCACGAACCGGAUUAGAUACCCGGGUAGUCCCAGCCGUAAACGAUGCUCGCUAGGUGUCAGGUGCGGUGCGACCGCAUCUGGUGCCGCAGUGAAAACUUGAAGCGAGUCACCUGGGAAGUACGGUCGCAAGGCUGAAACUUAAAGGAAUUGGCGGGGGAGCACUACAACGGGUGGAGCCUGCGGUUCAAUUGGAUUCAACGCCGG